GAUGAACGCUAGCAGAACGCCUAACACAUGCAAGUCGAACGAGAAGCUACCUUCGGGUAGUGGAAAGUGGCAAACGGGCGAGUAACACGUACUUAACCUACCCUGAAGUAGUGAAUAACCAUAGAGAUAUGGCUAAUACACUAUAAUCCCUACUAGCUGAAAUGCUAUAUGGGCAAAGAUUUAUCGCUUUAGGAGGGGGGUGCGGAGCAUCAGAUAGUUGGUGAGGUAAAGGCUCACCAAGUCUAUGACGCUUAGUCGGUCUGAGAGGAUGUCCGGCCGCAAUGGAACUGAGACACGGUCCAUACCCCUACGGGGGGCAGCAGUGGGGAAUAUUGCACAAUGGGCGCAAGCCUGAUGCAGCGAUUCUGCGUGGAGGAUGACACCCUGCGGGGCGUAAACUCCUUUUCUGGUGGAAGACGAAUGACGGUACACCAGGAAUAAGGGACGGCUAACUAUG
rnacentral:rRNA from 1 species